GUCCACGCCGUAAACGAUGUCGACUAGCCGUUGGAGACCUUAGAGUUUUUAGUGGCGCAGCUAACGCAAUAAGUCGACCGCCUGGGGAGUACGGCCGCAAGGUUAAAACUCAAAUGAAUUGACGGGGGCCCGCACAAGCGGUGGAGCAUGUGGUUUAAUUCGAAGCAACGCGAAGAACCUUACCAAGUCUUGACAUCCUGCGAACUUUCUAGAGAUAGAUUGGUGCCUUCGGGAACGCAGUGACAGGUGCUGCAUGGCU
rnacentral:rRNA from 1 species